rnacentral:rRNA from 1 species
UUGAACGCUGGCGGCAGGCCUAACACAUGCAAGUCGAACGGUAACAGGAAGAAGCUUGCUUCUUUGCUGACGAGUGGCGGACGGGUGAGUAAUGUCUGGGAAACUGCCUGAUGGAGGGGGAUAACUACUGGAAACGGUAGCUAAUACCGCAUAACGUCGCAAGACCAAAGAGGGGGACCUUCGGGCCUCUUGCCAUCGGAUGUGCCCAGAUGGGAUUAGCUAGUAGGUGGGGUAACGGCUCACCUAGGCGACGAUCCCUAGCUGGUCUGAGAGGAUGACCAGCAACACUGGAACUGAGACACGGUCCAGACUCCUACGGGAGGCAGCAGUGGGGAAUAUUGCACAAUGGGCGCAAGCCUGAUGCAGCCAUGCCGUGUGUAUGAAGAAGGCCUUCGGGUUGUAAAGUACUUUCAGCGGGGAGGAAGGGAGUAAAGUUAAUACCUUUGCUCAUUGACGUUACCCGCAGAAGAAGCACCGGCUAACUCCGUG